UGCCCUUCUGCAUUUUUCUGAUAUCCUGGGGCUUUUUCUGAUGUACUACGCAUGCAUAUGGGACUUGUGUUCCCAAGCUUAUGCAAUCCAUCAGUGCUGUGCAAAAGUAGCAAUGGUGAAAGGAAGAUUUCUGUUGCCUUUUUUUUUUUUUAAUUGAAAUGAAAAAAAGAAACCGGGAGACUUUUAACAUUUAAGAGAGCUGGGACAGUCAAAAUAAUAAUCAGUUUUUCUAGGUAUCUUCUCUCCAUUUUUGCCUGCAAGCCAAUGAAGAUGGACCCGCUUUCUUAAUAUUAGGAAAUGGCUUCAUUAGUGAUAAUGAACCAAGUAUUCAGGUAUCAACCUAAGAUGACACACAGUACAGACUGUGUUGGACAACUGACCAGCAGGGUCCUGCAAACAACAAUGAGACAAGCUAUAUAUCUCUGGGAUAAAAUGUUGCAGGUGUGGACUCCUAGCUGACAGCAGGUCUUGCCAAGAAGAUAACAAAUCUUCAAACAAGUCACCUUUUUCAGGACGUAAUGUCCAUAACACAGUGGAGAUACAGAUUUUGAUAUCUUCUCUUUCCAUGCUGGUAAAGCUGAAUAAGGUUGCUCUUGUAGUUUAUGAGUCUCUCUUCACUUUUCUGACACAUCUUGUUAUCCUGCCUUGAAUGUCUCUAUAUUGAUGACUUAGUAAGCACAUUAUUUUAUUAGCAUAUGUUGUAAUGGCAUAUUUUGAAGAAAUUUGUAUAUGAAAAAAAUAUAUAUCUAGAGGAAAUGUAAAAGUAAGUUCAACAUACAUGAACCAGAAGUACAUAUUGAAAUGAUACUUAAUUUACAGUGUACUGAUAAAUAAGGAAUACCUUUGGAGUAUUAAUACAUAAAAAGUGUACUUUAAUUUACAGUUUAGUAAUCAGAACAAGGAAUAUCUGUAGAUGAAAAUAUGUCAUGAGCAUGUUUUCAUUUUAUACAGAAGGAAUUAUAUGAAGACUUUUCAUCUAACAUGUGUGAUGUACAUUUAAAAUGUGUAGAUUUCUAACUUUACAAAGCAGAAAAGAAAAUGUCUGAGGAGGUCUUAAACUAAAAAGGCUGAAGUGAUAGAAAUCUUAGCCUUUACAGCUAUUGCGGUUGGCAAUUUGCUUCAUUUAAAUAAUUAAAGAUGAGUAUUAAAUAAGGCAAGCUUCAUGUAACAUCAUAAAUGUACUGAAAAUUCUAGUACUUUGCUAUACGUUUAUCUGUGACUAACUGUAAUGCCAUAAAAUGGCUAAAAUAAAUCAAUUAGGAGGCCAUUAAUCUAACAAAACGUGACAUCUUUGUAAACCAGUGUAGCCUUCUUUUGUGAAUGUUUAGAUUUUAAUGCAUUAUCUCACUUCAUUUCUUAACGCAAUCUUGUAAAGUGUUGGAAAACGAUCAGACAUUAUAUUCAUUUUUCUUCUUUGCUUCACAAUGUCUGUUAUAGAUGAUUUGUAGAACGAGUUGUUCUCACACUCUGCUUCCUUUUUUGUAGAACAAUAGCUGUAUUUCAUCAAAUAUACUUGUAACCACAUUAUAUUAAUUCCUUCUGUGUUAUUUCAGUAAACUCCAUUUUGAAAUUGA